AUGAUUUAAUGAAAUGCUUCCUUUUUCCUGCACGAAAAAAACAAAACCUCAAAUAACAGCUAGUUGAACCAUUUAGGAUUAGAAUGUUUAAUCCCUCGGAUCAGGGAAGAAUGAACGGGUGAGAAGAUUCUGAGGGAAGAAAGAUCCAAUUCAUGCAACACAGGAGCAUUGCUGUGGCGGAGGCCUGCCUGGAGGAAAUGUUCCAUUUUGUGGCAGCUUCAGCAGUCUGAAUCCUGAAAUGAAGAUGCAAGAGCUGAGCUCCCAAUCAACUGGCAGUGGACAUGUUGGCUGUAGCCAUGUGAUAAAGGUGCAAUCAGUGGGAUUUGAGCAGAAGUAAUGGGUGUUCUGUGCCUGGAACCUGAAAAUG